GACGUAGGGGCGCGAGCGUUGUCCGGGAUUUAUUGGGCGUAAAGAGCUCGUAGGCGGCUUGUCGCGUCUCCGUGAAAAACCUGCAGCUCAACUGCAGGCUUGCGGUCGAUACGGGCAGGCUGGAGUUCGGUAGGGGGAGACUGGAAUUCCUGGUGUAGCGGUGAAAAUGCGCAGAUAUCAGGGAGGGAAACACCCGGGUUGGGCGAAAGGGCGGGGGU
rnacentral:rRNA from 1 species